CCAGCAGUGGUCCUAAGCACGCGCCUGCCUGCUUGUCCACCGUGAGCCUCAAGCCCACAGGCCCCUAGACCACAGACCAGCACCUGGGAUGACCCCUGAUGGACGUGCUGCUCCAAGUGAGACCACGUGCCCAGAUGCACGGAGCUUGGUCCGAGUUCCUGGAUACCUCUACCUGUCCUGAGACACAGCCUGCCUGGGCAGCAGAACCAACUGUGGAGUUGGAUGGACCUGCUUCCAAGACCAAAUAGCUGAAACAGGAGGGCCCUACGUGGCAGUCCCUGGGAUGAGAAAGCCUUGUGUCAAAGCUGCCGCCGAGUCCCUCUCUAUUUUUACCUUCCUCACACUACCUCUUUGAGCCUGGAGGAGGCAUCCUGGCCUGAAGUGGCCCAAGCUGGCGUCUCCGAGGCAGAUUCAGCCAGCCCUCAGCUCGUUCUCCAGAAACCACCACCAAAAAGCCAGGACCACGUGGUUCCCAAGACUGCCUCCUUCAUGAAAGGAGACACGCAAAAUCAUUCUGCCUGGGAGGCCUUAUGUUUCUCUCUCAUCAUGAGGAGCCAAGCUACACUCAGAAGAAAAUAGUGACUUGGAGCAAAACAUGUAGCCUGAAAGGCCUUUUCCUCUUUUGGAAAUGACAUGGAAGCAACAUAGAUGUCCAUAGAUGGAGGAAUGGAUAACGAAGAAGUGGUCCAUAUACACAGUGGAAUAUUACCCAGCCAUAAAAAAGAAUGAAAAAAUGCUAUUUGCAGAGACGUGGAUGGACAAUAGAGAUUGUCAUACUGAGUGAGAUAAGGAAACUGAGGCUCAGAGAGGUUGAUGGACUUGCCCAAAGAUACCCAGCCUGGCACGGAGCUGGUCUCACCCUUGCAAAGCUAUACAGCCCGGUUACCAGGAUGAUAAGCGGCGCUUCACCGUGAUCCCCGCCAGCCAGAUAGGAGGUUCUACUGCUUCUACUUAAUGCAUGGAGAUAACGGCCAGCUUUGCCUACUCUGGAAUCGUUUUAUUUUAGGACCUGAGAGGCGAGGGUGGGGCUAUCCUACCACCAGGGAUCCUCUGCCUGACAGGACCCAGGCUGUCCUCAGAGUGGCCACAGGUCAGAAGACCAGCUGGUGAAAAGCGGGGGGUGCCUGUACUGGUCAGAGCUUUGACAGGGCCAACUUGGCUCCUGGGGAGGGUGGUGAGCCAAUAACUACUCAGGAGAGCUAGACCAUCUCCAUCAGACAGGAGAGGCUGACACCUCACAAACACCAUGUUUCUUUAGGACUAGCACCUCAGCUGAUCCUCUGGGAAGCCUUGGAACAUUCAAGCCAGAAUCAAGAGGUAGCAUCAUCAGGGUCUAGACAAGCAGGUGCCAAGGAGGGACAAAGCCACGCCUGGCCACUGGAGUCAAGGUCAUCACUCUAAUCUCCCUGCUGCUCCAGACUCACAUGGGCACAAUGGCUACUGUCCAGCUCUUGGAGCACCAGAUGAGGAAACUGAGGUCCAGAGAUGUAGAUGACACAUCCAAGGUCACUCAACAGGCUGAUUCCAAUUCUUUACAGUAUUUCAAAAUAUUUUGACACAUUUGCUUUUCUUUUUCUUAUGGGUUGGUGCAAACCCUCUGACUCAGGUGUUAAUGUCCAGACCCAACAAGUGUGUGUGUGUGUGUGUGUGUGUGAUUUCUGCUGUCAGUGAUAGUCAUUCCUCUUCUGUGUUUCCAGUGCUCUCUGCUCAUCCCUCCAUCAUACCGUUUAUCUAGCUGCACAGGAAUUAUCUGUGUUUGUCCUCCUGACAGGAGUGAGUACCUAAAGUACUUUGUGCUGUGUUUUAUACACAGUAGGCAAACAUGAAUUUUGUUUAAUGAAUAUUGAUGAAUUCACUGUCUACUCACUAUAAACAGGUAACCAUUUCUUGGCCCUAUUAAAUAUGCAAUCUUCUAUGAUCAAUUAAUUUAAAAUUAUGUUCCUCUGAAGGUUAAUAACUGAAAAACUCUGCUAAGAUGACUGUGCCUGUGAGGAGCAUAGCUGCUUGGGCCACACUGCUUCAUGGUGCCCCUUGUGGCAGCAUGCUCUAAUUGCAGGCAAAGGGUCUUAAGAAUGGGUCUUUCAAAAGAGACAUGUAAAGAAAAAAUUUUUUGCUGAAUGCAUGCAGAAAUACAUCAGCUUAUGCCUCCUUUGCCUUCACUCUGCUACCCUAGGGUCCAUAGUUGGAAUCCCGGCUGCUUUGAUUUGGUUAGUGGUAUUUCUAAGAUACUGGUUUGGCUCAGCGGCUGGGCUAUGGGUGAGGCAGCACUUAUAAGUAACAACCCAAAGUAGCCGUGUCCAUUUUCACAUUUCCUACUCUGUACUCCAUGUUCUGCUUUAGAUUCAGUUAACCCCCUAAGGACAGGGACUGUGUCUCAUUCGCUUCCAUCUCUCCAAUGCUUAGUGCAGGGCUUAACACAGAGUAGGUGCAGGUGCUGUGCCGGGAAUGUCUAAGAAUUGGCAUGUCAGAGCCUGGGGGUCAGAAUGAUCAGGUAAGGUCUACUUUCUGAUACCCAACCAUUCCAAACAUCCAUGCUUUUAUUAUUAUUCUGACUUCUCAAUUUGAUGUUAUUCUUCAGAAGUCACCAUUCCACUCUGUAACACUCAGUGUGUGUGAACACACAUUAAUCAUUACUGGGGUCAAUGACCAGAUGAGCCCUUAACAUUCCAUUACCAAGUGUUUGUCAUUUCUCAUUAGUGUUAUGUUUGUAAUCGCUAGGGACUUCUCCCUGGACAACUUGUCAAAAUCUGCAUGGCCUUGCCAAACUGUGGAUUUAUCCUUCCAGAAGUGUGGAGGGCAUUUGGAACUCGCGUGACUUUCCAGAGGAAACACAGUGCAGUACCAUGAUCUCUUUCAUCUUCUAUCAUCUCGCACAUCAAAACCCCCCCUCCACUCAUCAAGGGACUCUUGCAUAGCUGUGAGUAUUACCUCCCCACUGCCUCUCAUCCUUCACAGAACCGCAGGUGCCUCUUGCAAGAAGUGCCGCAUCCAUGUCCCUCUCCCUUCCUGCCUUUGUUUUCCAUUGUUAUUAGAAGCGUAGCCAUGGAGAGAAAUCUGGUGGUCAGCAGCGACUGCAGCCAUUAGAAAAGAUAGAUUUUCCUUCUCAUCUGACUAAGGAGAAUGGGGUCUGGUGUCUAGUCCCCACAGUUUGCAGAGAAUAAGCUGAACAAUUUCAAGAUGGCAAGUCCCCCCCAAAAUCCCUUUUUGUGAAACAAGCUCUUUGCAUGGGAGGGGUUACUGAUUGACAGGCGCUGCAUCCAGAAUGGGCUGUGGGAUUUACAGUGACCCCACCGCAGGCUCUCGCAGAAGCCACUCUGGGAGACAGCCCUUCAGGGCUGUCAUUGAAGAAUCAUGAACCAAAGGAUAAUACCACCUGCCUCCUGGAGCCCAGAGAAAAGGUCUCAGCCCAGGGGGCAAACAUUCUGCCUCCUCCUUCACAGAAAAAGCCCUCCUUAGCUUUAUGCCUGGACUCGGGCACUGCAGCUCUGGUUGGAAUGUGUGCUUCCUGGCAGCUCAUGCUGCCUUUCACUUGACACAGGCAGUGAUCCUUGUAGCAGGCCUCCCACCCUUCUCCUGCCUAGAGCUUUUGUGAAGACUGAAUGAGAGAAAAGUCCAUGCAUGUCCUCUAAAAAGCAAAGAGCACUGGUAGGAAUGGUGGAUGAAGUGCUGUCUGGCCACACCCUCCACAAGCUCUGGCUUUGGGCAUGCUUGAUGAGCGCAUUCCAUACUGCAACAAAAUGCCCUAUUUCAGUGAGAUACCCCAAAUUGGUAGUUUCAGAUUUUACAACCCUUUCUUUGUCUAUGAGCUUCUUUUUGGCCAACACUUGUUAGCCAUAGAUCUUCUAAACCCUUAUUUCCAAACAUCCAUUUCCUACUGAAACUCUCUUCUCCAUUUCAGAGCCUCCAGAAUACACCACCAGCAUCCCCAGCCCUUUUUCUUUAGUCACAGCUUUUCCCUGCCUGCCCUCCCCACCCUACUUACCCUUCAGAGCUUCUCCAUGUUGACCCCACCCUUGAAGACCAAGCAGAAGACCUCGCCUCAAGCUGACCCACAAAGCACCCUGUCCUCCUUCAAAAGAACUUACUGUGUUUCUGCUGACCUUGAACCAGGGAGGCAGUAAUCACACUGCUUAACGGGAGGCUCCGCAGUCAGGUUGCCCACUUCUUACUGCUUGUGUGACCUUGGGCAAGUUACUGGAACUUCCUGGGCAUUGCUUUCCUCAGCUAUAAAAUAAGGAUAAUAACAGGAGCUCUUUUCUGCAUCUAAAGGGCUGAGCACAAUGCCUGAUGUGCUGUAACCACUCAGUAAAGGAGAGUUAGCGUUAUCCUAAGAAUUUUCUUUAUAUGUUGCCAUGUAAGGUUGUAACAGCCCAGGAAAAGUAGAUUUCAUUGCCCCAGAUGAUGAAAAUGAAGCUAAGAAAGAUUAAAGCACUUGCCCAAGGUCACAUAUUUGGUCAUGGAGCUGAGAUGCAGAGUCAGGUCUGUCUGGUUGAGAUCCACAGCUUUUGCACUGCUAUAGCCAACCCACCUCAAUAGGCCUCCUGUGGUUAGGUCAGCCCUUAUUCCUCAGUUUACCCUUCAUGUGGGCCUCCCUUCUAUCCCCACCCAGACCCUGGGUUCCUCCAGAGCAAGGUUUCUCAAAUCUCCUCACCCCAGCUAUGUAUCUGUUGAGUGGACAAAAAAGUGAAUGGAUGGGGAAAAUACAUUUCAAGACCAGACUCUAUCCCUGAAGAACCUAGCCCUGGUACUUAAGUCCAUGGAAGUCAGGGGACUCUCAACAGAACCAGGGAUAAGCCCACCUCCAGGCUCUUCUCCACUUCAGCCUGCCUACCGCACUGAUCCAGGAUUUCUGACUGUGUCUCUCUCCUUCUAAAACACCUCCAGGUAUUCUUGCACUUCCUGUGGGACUAGUCUAUAGAAAGGAGUUUGGUUCCAACACGGUCUGUUAACAUAAGUCUUCACUGAGCUUAACACGUAUUUCUUUGAUCUGGAAGGCAAACGUUUGGAAAAGAGAUGGUCAAGGAUAGCAAUGAUGUACUCCCUCAGAACUGUGCAGUAAAGGGACCACGGCCACAUUCUCCUGGGGCUACGGUUUCUGGAUUUACAUCCCUUUAUUUUUAAAGUAAAACUGCAUGUAAAGUGCUCUAAACACCAAGAUCAGAAUGUUAGAACUUUAAAUAUGACAGAAUGAUGCCCAUUUUGCUGCUUGCCUCACCAUCCCAGAGAAAGAACCUCACGUGAGUUAAUUGGACAGAUGAGAACAAGAAAGAUGGUGAGGUGCGCCCCACAUUAUUGAGACCCAAUGUUUUGGUGUAGACACAAUCAAAUGAAACUGUCCUUUAAGCCUCCUCAGGGACCAAGCAAAGAUGAGGAGUAAAGCAGUAGCAUUAUAGAGAAAAUCAUGCAUGUUCUGAAUAGAAACUUUUCUGUUAUAGAACACCUGAAAUCCCAGUUAGUCAUAGCUAUCAUUUUUUGAGUGCUUAAAACUCCAUGUCCUAAUCAAGGCCAAUGGGUGGCAGAGCAGCUUUGACCUCGCAUAUGUCUGACUCCUGUCCAGCAUCUUUCUCCUAAAGCACAAGGCUCUCAUUUCCCUUGAGGAAUCUUGGAGUCCAAGAGACUUAGAGCUCUUCGGUCAUCUGUUAUAUGUACCCUCUAAUCAUCCUCUUCCUCAACUCAUUAGCCAAGGUCAAGCCCUGUGCAUAAUUCAGUUAGCUGAUUUGUCUAUUCAUCGUAUGCUUAUGCAAAUGGCUUGAAAUAUUUCCCCAGUAUUCUUUUUAAUGGAGGAUAAUUACUUGACAAUAUUGUGAUGGUUUUUGCCGUACAUCAACAUGAAUAGGCAUACAUGUGUCCCCUCUCCUUAACCCGCCCCCCCGCCUUGCUUGUCACCCCAUCCCUUCAGGUUGGCACAGAGCACUGACUUGGGGUGCCUUGUGUCAGCAUCAAACUCCCACUGGCUAUCUGUUUUACGUAUGGUAAUGUGUAUAUUUCAGUGCUGUUUUCUCAAAUCAUCCCACCCUCUCCUUCUCCCAGUGAGUUCAAAGGUCUGCUCUUUAUGUCUGAGUCUCCUUUGCUGCCCCCUUGUAGGAACACUGGUACUAUGAUUCUAGAUUCCAUAUAUAUGUGUUAAAAAUAUAUAGUAUUUGUCUUUCUCUUUCUCCCCUAGUAUUCCUAUUGGCAAGAAAAUGGGGCCCACAUCAAGGUAAUUCAUGAGAUAAUACUUGCCAAUGUUUUCAAUCAUGUUUUAACUAGUAGUAAAUCUUGCUUGAUUUAUCUGAAAAUUGUUCCUCUUUCUCCUGCCUCUGUCUUGUAAGAUUCUAUGAACCCCUUCUGAUAACAACAGCAGCUAAGUAAAAAGAAACAAAUGAAAUUAAUUUUAAUAUCAUUUAUUUAACCUAAUGUAGCCAAAAUGUUACUAUAUUUUACCCAAAACAUUAUUGAGCUAUUUUAUAUUUUUCAUACUAGCUUUCCAAAAUCUGGUGUAUAUUUUAUACUUAAAGCACUAGUCUCAAUUCAGACCACUAUCAAUUCAGACUAGUCAUAGCUCAAGUGCUCAGUCCACAUAUGGCUAUUAUACUGGACAACACAGAUAUAAAUAGGCAUUCUCCUUUUCCUAUUUCAUCUAUUUGUUUCUAUUUCAACUUUAAAUUUAGGUUUUGCAUGAGGAUUGGAUCAUAAAAGGCUACCCUAAUGGAAAUGUGCCCUUUGGAUAAUGUAAUAAAACAUAGCAGCUGUUUGGGACAGCAGAAAGACCAUACCUUGAAAGAAAGUAAAAGUUGCUCAGUCGUGUCUGACUCUGCGACCCCAUGGACUACACAGUCCAUGGAAUUCUCCAGGCCAGAAUACUGGAGUGGGUAGCCUUUCCCUUCUCCAGGGGAUCUUCCCAACCCAGGGAACAUACCUCAGGAGUUAUAAAACCUGGGUUUCAAUUCUCACAACUAACUGGGGAUGUGGCCAGGGCAACCCUCAACUUCCCUCAGCCUCUUUCCUCAUGUUGAAAGAGAGGUGAUGGGGACUUCCCUGGCAGUCCAGUGGUUAAGACUUCAUGCUCCCAAUGCAGGGCAUGUGGGUUCAAUCCUUGGUUGGGGAACUAAGAUUCCACAUGCCAUGCAUGUGUGGCCAAAAAAAAAAAAAAAGAGAGAGAGAGAAAGAGAUGAUGGUUUAUGAUUACUGGUUCUUUCCAUUUCUAAAAAUCUCUUUCUGCUUACUGCACACACCCUUUCCAGGGUUUCUGCAGCCGUUUCCUCUUUCCAGGCACAAUUUUUGUGUGACAGGGCUUAUCCCAAGCUGGAGUAAUGUGAUCCCUGUGCCCAGCUCUGUGCCUGGCAUGCUGCAGGCACAAGAAAUGCUUGUUGAAUGAAGGAAAAUCCAGUUCUCUGAGGGACCCCUGGGCCUCUCAGUUUUUGCUAGAGUAACUAUAGCAGCCUUAGCAAUUAAUUAUACUCUUAUUUCCUUUCUCAUAUUAGCCUAAAAUCCUGACAAUCUAAGCUUUCUGAAGGGUAAUAGCUGGAUUAGAAACCAUUUCCUGAUCCUGUUAGCCAAGGAGAUGGUGCUCAGCUAUAGGCAUGGCUGCCUAGAGACCCCCGCAAAUGGUCUCCCUCUUAUUACAUGCUGUUCUGAUGCUGAGGAGAGUUAAUUAAUGACUCUAAAUAAGAAAACAAUCAAAUCUGUCUGCAGUCAUAUGAGUCAGAGCAGACCCAGAUGGGAAACCGGUCCUUGGCCUCCAAGUGCCCUGGGGGAAAGCAAUAACAGCUUUUGCUCCAGACGUCAGAGCCCUGCAAAAUCCCAACCUAGAAGGGGAAGGAGUUGCUCAGAAUGGCUUGGAGACCCAGCAUGACGUGAAACAGUUUCUUAAAAGACCAGGCCCCCUACCUGGGUGUUGUGCACACUGACUCUAGGGAGAGGAGAAAAAGCACAAGCCUGUUUCUCUCUCCUCUCUUUAGACACCCAAACCUGCAGCAACCGCACGGGCAGCUCUCAGGCACAGGCCUCUUGGGUGUGUGUUGCAAGACCAGGGCAAUUGGCAUUGCCACCUGGAGGAUAUGUGGCUUGAAGCCUAUCAAGCCCCAAACCUGCCCACCUUCAGGACUCCUGUAGCCACAUAUGGAAGUGGAACAUUGGUUGUGAUGACAUGAGGGCAGAAAUGUGAUGUUUCCCUGAGAUUAGGUGAGGCUUGAAACAGUGAAAAGUUCAUUUUUGUGUUAGAAAGUUUGCUGUGAAAAAUCUGAGAGUGAGAAUGGGUGGAAGAAGCCUCUUAACAAUAUCCAAGUGUUCUCAGCACUGGAACAGGAUGCUAGCAGAUAAAGAUAAGCCCUACUUCUUUAGCUCUAUAUGAACUCUGUUGAGUAAUAACAGCAUCCUCAUGGUUCUCUCUCUCUUCUUGCAUGCUUGGCUUCCUGUGAAACAGUUCCAUGCUGGAAAGAAAACUCUGCACCACUGGCCAUGAGGGUCAUAUACCUUUCUCCUUCUUUGGUAAUCAAGUUCAGGUUAGGAGCCCUUUGUCAGGAUAAAAUGUAAUACGGAUGUGACAAUGCACUUGCUCAGUUUGAAAUCCUCUUUGUGAUUUAUGUCUGAAUAUUAUUGGUCCCCAAUUUAAUUCUUCUAAAAUUUGGUUAGAAUAUCCUAGAGGACAGGACAAUAUUUCAAUAUUUCUUCUACAAUAGCAGUAGGGAAAAGACUAGUGGUAAAGAGGAGUCUCUGGAGUUUUAAGACAUCCAGACUGGAACAUAAAUGUUGCCCCUUCUGAUCUGUAUAACCAUGGGCAAACCCCUUUCCUCUUGAAGCAGCUUCAUUUGCUCAUCUUGAAAGUGGGAAUAACAACACCACCCACCUCAUAGGACUCUGAGAAUUAAAUACAUUCUUACAUGUGAAGAGCCUGACUCAGAAAUGUUUCCCCUUAUUAUUAGCUUGCAAUUCUUUAAAUAGGGACUGCUGCUGGGUUCAUUCAAAGUGAUGCAGUAGAUCAUCUACAGCUAUGUUUUCUCUUGUUCUAUUCUGUGACCAGUUGUGGGGAAAUCCUCACAGAGGCUCUUGGUCCUUACAGUUUGCUCCUACUCUAUGCCCUAAAACUGUUUUUUCUCUACAUGGGCUGAGACCAGUGCUCCAGAACCUUGGACAGCUCCACUCCUUAGGGACUGCUGGGCUGCCUGAAGGAGCAUGAAGGACUUGGGGGAUUUUCCCAGAAGGGCUGCAUUAGUGUGGGGAUUUAGGGAUCCCAAGGGCCUCAGUCUCACUCCCAGAAGGUGUACCAGUGAGUGCAUGCUCAGAUUCUUCAAUACAACCAGCCCUCCUGGAAAAUUCUGAGGAGCCUCUCCUCCUCAGAAACCCUAUCCAUAGGAGUUACCAAAUCAUCAGGGCCUUUCCUUCUCUCCUAAGAACUCCAAGGGUUUUUUUUUGUUUUUUUUUUUUGAACCCAAGAAGAACAGAAAUACCACCCACAUCUUCCUGUAUCCGCUGAUAUUUAAUUUGUUUGGCUUCAGUACAAGGAUUAAACCUUCUUGAUUAACCUUGAGUGAAAGUAAUAAUGUAUGAGCAUGAAGAAAGGCUUUAUAAGACAGAGACUCAUGUAUGAAUGAAAAAAACAUAAUGUCAUUGCCUGUAUGUGAUGUUAAGUGACAGUCUCUAAUCAGGAUAAGCAGGUAGUUCAAUUUAUGAGAUAAUUUAUCUUUUCACUCUACAGUGCAGAACACAACACACAUAUGCAGUCACCUUCUGAACAGGCAAGGAAGAGAUUAAGUCCUAUUUUUACUUUAUGAUACUGAGUCAUGUAGUUCAAUGCAAAUCACACGGAUGUCAAAGUAAGAACAAUACCAGGUAUUUAAAUAUCUCUUUUACUUUAAGGAGCACUGAAGAGUUUGUGGCUGCAUGAAAUCACAUUAGAGCAACUCCAGGAGAGGAGACAUGUGUCAGCAGGUGGGCAUUUAAGACUGAGCAUAUCCCAUCCAUCCCCCCUAUUCCCAUAUCAUUAGGCCUGGAGGAGCCAGUGUUUACUAGUUCUUUGCAUUUAAAAAUAGCACCCUGAUACCUGGGUCUGACACUUUCUAGGCCAUAAUGUUGAUGAGAAAAAGAAAGUAUAUGUUUGAAAAAUAUGCUUCUGAUUAAUAAUGAGGAAGAGGGGAGGACAGAAGUAGAAUAGGAAAAAAAAGGAGAAAGGCAUUGAAGAAAGAGAGGAAAACCUCCCUGAGCUUGAUGAAUGCUUUUCAUGCAUUUUUCUCUUAAACAGAUUUAAUGUCCACCCUCAGUUGGAUGAAACCUUGAACAAAGGUCUUUAGGCUCUCUUUAAAUAUUUCCAUAUGGGAGAGGACAGUAGCAGUUCCAUUGCUUGAAGGAACUGCAGACAAGAACUUCAACUCAGGACUCCAAAAGCAGACAAGUAGCCCCCAAAUGGUUUUUACCUAACAAUGCCCACACCCACCUUGAGCUUUCACAAUGUGAGGGAGUGUUCGUUGCCAAAUUUCAGCUUGGUUACACUUCUGCCCAGCAGAGGUCGCUGUGGACACUUGUGGAGACGCCGGGUAGGGCGGCUCUGUCUGGUAACUGUUCUUCCUGUGGUUCCACGGGCCACUGUCUGCCCCUCAUACGGGAAAGGAGUCUCUGGUGACAGCACCUUUGCUGUCAAAGUGCUGUAUAACUGAGGCCACUUGGUGGGAGUGGGCAGGUUUGGGAGGGCUAUCCUCAUCCUGUAGGAUAUCUGCCCACAGUGAUAUCUCUGUCAUGUUCGUGCCUUCCUCAUAAGUGUAUUAAGGGUAUUACUGAGAGCCCACCUGUCAACUGACCAGCAACUCCGGCCUCAUAGCCCUUCCAGAUAGAGACCAAAGUGAUGAAAAUUGUCUUGCCACACAAUCUUGCACCC